UACACUCCUACGGGAGGCAGCAGUGGGGAAUAUUGCACAAUGGGCGCAAGCCUGAUGCAGCCAUGCCGCGUGUAUGAAGAAGGCCUUCGGGUUGUAAAGUACUUUCAGCGGGGAGGAAGGCAAUACGGUUAAUAACCGUGUUGAUUGACGUUACCCGCAGAAGAAGCACCGGCUAACUCCGUGCCAGCAGCCGCGGUAAUACGGAGGGUGCAAGCGUUAAUCGGAAUUACUGGGCGUAAAGCGCACGCAGGCGGUCUGUCAAGUCGGAUGUGAAAUCCCCGGGCUCAACCUGGGAACUGCAUUCGAAACUGGCAGGGUUGAGUCUUGUAGAGGGGGGUAGAAUUCCAGGUGUAGCGGUGAAAUGCGUAGAGAUCUGGAGGAAUACCGGUGGCGAAGGCGGCCCCCUGGACAAAGACUGACGCUCAGGUGCGAAAGCGUGGGGAGCAAACAGGAUUAGAAACCCCAGUAGUCCCAU
rnacentral:rRNA from 1 species